AACGAACGCUGGCGGCAGGCUUAACACAUGCAAGUCGAACGAGCUGGGGGCUUCGGUCCCCGAUGCUAGUUGCGCACGGGUGAGUAACACGUGGGAAUAUGCCCUUUAGUACGGAAUAACCAAGGUAAACUUUGGCUAAUACCGUAUACGCCCUUCGGGUGAACGAUUUAUCGCUAAAGGAUUAGCCCGCGUCUGUUUAGCUAGUUGGUGAGGUAAUGCCUCACCAAGCCGACGAUCAGUAGCUGGUCUGAGAGGAUGAUCAGCCACACUGGAACUGAGACACGGCCGAGAAUCCUACGGGAGGCAGCAGUGGGGAAUAGUGGACAAUGGGGGGAACCAUGAUCCAGCCAGGACGCGUGAAUGAAGAAGGCAGUCGGGUUGUAAAGCUCUUUCGACGGGGACGAUGAUGACGGUACCCGUAUAAGAAGCCCCGGCAAACUUCGUG
rnacentral:rRNA from 1 species